ensembl:lncRNA
AAGAUUUCUGACCAGGGAGUCUGAAGUAUAGUCAGAAGAGUAGCCGAAGAGUCAAGGACCACUCGGAAAGAGCUCCAGAAACACUUGGAGGCAGCAGGCAAGCAAAGGGCUUAAUUGAAUUCCAGAAAAAGGAAAGCUUUUCUCCUCCUCUCUGUCUUGGGGAAUCCAGAAUUGAACCCUUGUUGGCAUUUAGCAACAGGGAGCUGUACUUGAUGCUAAAAAUACUGGCUUCGUGUCAAAGACCUUCUCCCUGUUCUCAGUGUAGCAAAUGUGUGGCGCUUGGUGCUGCGAAUGUCUGUGGUUGGCGUGUCUCUUGGCAUCGGGGACAGCGUUGGAGAAGGUGACGUGGUAGGUGGUGUACCUGCACUCUGUCCGUGGCCUGUUCUGCAUGCCGGGACUGCACCAGAGUUGACCAAGGUCCCUGCUCCGAUGGUUCAGCUGUCUUGGAGAGAUUGCUCUCUUGUGUUGUCUUUUUCUUCUGGAGAUGCACUGCGGGGACUGCGCUGUGUGGUCAUGGGGAAACGGGAGUUUAUCACUAUACAUAUAUCCUACUUGUUGUAAAGGCUUGACCG